rnacentral:lncRNA from 1 species
CAAAUUGAAUAGACCAUGACUGAGGUGGAGCGGAAACAAUCUCAAUGAAAUGAGAAGUGCCAAUGCUAAUACAACUGCAUUCAAGAUGAAAAUUACCAAUCACCAGUGGUUCCUCUUAAUCUGAUCUAUACAUAAACUUUAUAUAUUGUUGACACCAAUCAGAAUGUUGCCAUAAGAAACAGAAGCCUACAUCUUGCCUUAUUGACAAACCCUUUCCAAGAUUUUGUUCAAUAAAUUUUGA